rnacentral:rRNA from 1 species
GACGAACGCUGGCGGCGUGCCUAAUACAUGCAAGUUGAGCGAUGAAGAUUGGUGCUUGCACCAAUUUGAAGAGCAGCGAACGGGUGAGUAACGCGUGGGGAAUCUGCCUUUGAGCGGGGGACAACAUUUGGAAACGAAUGCUAAUACCGUAUAACAACUUUAAACAUAAGUUUUAAGUUUGAAAGAUGCAAUUGCAUCACUCAAAGAUGAUCCCGCGUUGUAUUAGCUAGUUGGUGAGGUAAAGGCUCACCAAGGCGAUGAUACAUAGCCGACCUGAGAGGGUGAUCGGCCACAUUGGGACUGAGACACGGCCCAAACUCCUACGGGAGGCAGCAGUAGGGAAUCUUCGGCAAUGGACGAAAGUCUGACCGAGCAACGCCGCGUGAGUGAAGAAGGUUUUCGGAUCGUAAAACUCUGUUGGUAGAGAAGAACGUUGGUGAGAGUGGAAAGCUCAUCAAGUGACGGUAACUACCCAGAAAGGGACGGCUAACUACGUG